rnacentral:rRNA from 1 species
UACGAAGGGGGCUAGCGUUGCUCGGAAUCACUGGGCGUAAAGCGCACGUAGGCGGAUUGUUAAGUCGGGGGUGAAAUCCUGGAGCUCAACUCCAGAACUGCCUUCGAUACUGGCGAUCUUGAGUCCGGGAGAGGUGAGUGGAACUCCGAGUGUAGAGGUGAAAUUCGUAGAUAUUCGGAAGAACACCAGUGGCGAAGGCGGCUCACUGGCCCGGUACUGACGCUGAGGUGCGAAAGCGUGGGGAGCAAACAGGAUU